rnacentral:rRNA from 1 species
GAUGAACGCUGGCGGCGUGCCUAAUACAUGCAAGUCGAGCGAACGGACGAGAAGCUUGCUUCUCUGAUGUUAGCGGCGGACGGGUGAGUAACACGUGGAUAACCUACCUAUAAGACUGGGAUAACUUCGGGAAACCGGAGCUAAUACCGGAUAAUAUUUUGAACCGCAUGGUUCAGAAGUGAAAGACGGUCUUGCUGUCACUUAUAGAUGGAUCCGCGCUGCAUUAGCUAGUUGGUAAGGUAACGGCUUACCAAGGCAACGAUGCAUAGCCGACCUGAGAGGGUGAUCGGCCACACUGGAACUGAGACACGGUCCAGACUCCUACGGGAGGCAGCAGUAGGGAAUCUUCCGCAAUGGGCGAGAGCCUGACGGAGCAACGCCGCGUGAGUGAUGAAGGUCUUCGGAUCGUAAAACUCUGUUAUUAGGGAAGAACAUAUGUGUAAGUAACUGUGCACAUCUUGACGGUACCUAAUCAGAAAGCCACGGCUAACUACGUG